rnacentral:lncRNA from 1 species
CCAGUUGGAGGUGUUUAUAUAGCCUUAUCAUCUAAUGGGUGAGAGUUUGCUUUGAACAAUAGGUGGUGUUUUGGUUGCUUGUUCUCCUUCAUCAUAUUUAUAUUAUCAGUUGAUGAAUCUUAUUUGGAGGACUCAAAUUAUAGGUAUAGGUACCUUUUAUCAACAUAAACACAUUUUUUGAUUACAUUUUAGUUUGAAUUAGUAUGAAAAAUGAAUUUGAAAUUGUUGAUAAUGAUUAUGAUUAUGAUUACUUUGUUAUAUGAUUAUGAAAGUGACACAUGAACACAAAUUUAAAAUUUGAAUUUACCCACAUUGGUAUUAUUAAGUCCAAAGUUUUCUAUUCCACAAAAUCAUUGUGGUCUAUAAAGUUUUAUAAAGUCUUUGUGUUAGAUAUUUGUAUAUUGGCUUCCUUAUUUCUAAAAUAAAUAUUCAUGCAUGAUGUUGGAUACGAUGUUCUAACAUGUUGGCACGGUUCAGUGUGCCCUGUUUAUGUGCCAAGAUUUACGCGCGCUUUAUCUAUUUAAGGAAUCCACGCAUUUUUACUUGUUCGCCAAGUCGCGUGCAUUUUGUCUAGAAUCAGUUGUGUGAUUAUUUCCUAAAGUAGUGACAUUAUUUUAAGAAACUUUGGAUGUGUUUUAGUUGUUCCUAAAGAUGUUCCGACAUUUUAGGAGACAACCUGUUUGUUCCUGAUUCUUGGGAAGCGGGUCAGCUAUUGGAUCUGAAAUGUUUUCUGAAGCCCAACAAGUCUAUUCAAGCCGUACUGCUUCAGAGUAUUUAUACACGGACGCAAAAGCUAAUUCAUCAUUCAAACCGUCAUUUAUAUAUCAGAGCUUUUAGGGUUUUGAGUCGUUGUUCAAUAUGAGCCUUUUCUUGUGUCACCUUGAUACAUGAUAAGGACUGUGUUUUAUUGAGUUGUAAUUGUGUAUACUACUCCUAAGCUUUGAAGCACGAAGGUAGUUUGUGUUUGAAGGUAACUUCAUCAUUGUUUUGUAAUCAGAUAAUCACAAGUGUGUGAUUGAGUGGAAGUGAGAUGAGAUCUCAGAUCUAGGAGUUCCUAGGUUGAAGUCAGUGCAGGUAGGUCUUAUGUUAUAAGUUGUGAACUUGGAGUUUGUUGAGAACGUAGAACAAGGACUACGCUAGUGGAUUUCCUUCCUGCCUUGGUAGCCUCCAUAGUAGGUGUGUUUGUCACUGAACUGGGUUAACAAUUCAGCUGUGCCAUUUACUUUCUUGUCUUGUACUUUUACCUAAUUUUGUUUGUUAUUGUUAGCAUGAUGUUUAAACAAUUUACCUGUGCUAUUUACUUUUACCUAAUUUUGUUGGAACAUCGUAUAAAACAUCUGAAAGUUAACGCG